rnacentral:lncRNA from 1 species
UAUCCUCCAUGACGAUCCUUCGAUCGGAAGCAUUUAGAAAUUAACCACUAAUGAUGUAUGUCUCAAAUUCUCAACACCUUGAAAAUAUACAAAAUCAUCUUAAUUUAUUUUUAAGAUAAAUCAUGGACAUAUAUAACAUGAUUGAUUGUAAAGACUAUCCAUCAAGUACAAAACAUAUCCUAGAGAAAGGUAUGUGUCAGUCAAAAUUGGUUUCUAGGGCACACAUCUGACAUGGAUUAGCUAAUUGUUAGUUAGGAGGAUCUAAUUGCAAAUGUUGCAAGCCAAUUUGAUGAGAUCAAGUUGGGAAUCAAUUUUUAAUUAAUUAAAUGUAAUUUAAUUAGUCUGGACUUGACCUAAUUGAGAAUUAUUGGGCUUAUGGUUUCAAGGUUGAAUCCUUGCUAAUUAGAUUAUGAUUAAGUUUGGAUCAGGUUGGGCUCGAAUCAGUUUCAAAUUGGAUCCAAAUUAAAUCAAAAUUAAACCCAAACCACAUAGCCCCAACGGACUGGGACUCUCUCCCUUCCUCUACGCCAUAAUGGGGGUGCCAAUUCAGAUUGGCAUCCACUCCACGUGUGACAAGAAGGUGAGGAAGAGAGGGGGCACAAAUUCAAAUUGGCACCCCAUUGUUAAUGAGCUUAAUUCCUUGUUGAUUAGCUCUAUCUUCUCUUUGAUUGCGAUAGGAUUAGGUUUAUUUUAAACUUAAACUCUUAUCAGAUAAAAGUCCAAGAUCAUCCAAACUCUAUCCUAACCACUUGGCCACCAAAUAUAAAAGGACAUGGGUCUUGGGCGUGGAGAAGAAUUAGAGAUCAUCCAUCCAUCUUGUAUUGCCACCCCAAUUCCUCUUGCUUCUGCCUAAAUCCACAUGCCCCACCUCCUCCUGGUUGGCCACC